AACGAACGCUGGCGGCAUGCCUAACACAUGCAAGUCGAACGAGACCUUCGGGUCUAGUGGCGCACGGGUGCGUAACGCGUGGGAACCUGCCCUUAGGUUCGGAAUAACUCCCCGAAAGGGGUGCUAAUACCGGAUAAUGUCUUCGGACCAAAGAUUUAUCGCCUUUGGAUGGGCCCGCGUUGGAUUAGCUAGUUGGUAGGGUAAAAGCCUACCAAGGCGACGAUCCAUAGCUGGUCUGAGAGGAUGAUCAGCCACACUGGGACUGGGACACGGCCCAGACUCCUACGGGAGGCAGCAGUGGGGAAUAUUGGACAGUGGGCGAAAGCCUGAUCCAGCAAUGCCGCGUGAGUGAUGAAGGCCUUAGGGUUGUAAAGCUCUUUUACCCGGGAUGAUAAUGACAGUACCGGGAGAAUAAGCUCCGGCUAACUCCGUG
rnacentral:rRNA from 1 species